rnacentral:rRNA from 1 species
UACGUAGGGCGCAAGCGUUGUCCGGAAUUAUUGGGCGUAAAGAGCUCGUAGGCGGUUUGUCGCGUCUGCUGUGAAAACCUGAGGCUCAACCUCGGGCUUGCAGUGGGGUACGGGCAGACUAGAGUGCGGUAGGGGUGACUGGAAUCCUGGUGUAGCGGUGGAAUGCGCAGAUAGUCAGGGAGGAACACCGGUGGCGGAAGGCGGUUCUCUGGACAGUUCCUGACGGCUG